UACGAAGGGGGCUAGCGUUGCUCGGAAUCACUGGGCGUAAAGGGUGCGUAGGUGGUGGAGUAAGUUUGAUGUGAAAUCUCCGGGCUUAACCCGGAAACUGCAUUGAAUACUAUUUUGCUGGAGGUUUGGAGGGGGGACUGGAAUUCUCGGUGUAGCAGUGAAAUGCGUAGAUAUCGAGAGGAACACCAGUGGCGAAGGCGAGUCCCUGGACAACACCUGACACUGAGGCACGAAAGCUAGGGGAGCAAACAGG
rnacentral:rRNA from 1 species